GAUGAAGAACGUAGCGAAAUGCGAUACUUGGUGUGAAUUGCAGAAUCCCGUGAACCAUCGAGUCUUUGAACGCAAGUUGCGCCCGAAGCCAUUAGGCCGAGGGCACGCCUGCCUGGGCGUCACACGUCGUUGCCCCCCCAUCUACUCCUUCGGGAUUGCGGGGGGCGGAUGAUGGCCUCCCGUGCGCCUCGUCGCGCGGUUGGCCUAAAUGCCAAGUCCUCGGCGACGCACGCCACGACAAUCGGUGGUUGCGAAACCUCGGUUGCCCGUCGUGUGCGGUCGUCGCGCAUCGAGGGCUCGAAAAAAUUGCCGGGCUUCGGCUCGACUUUCAACGCGACCCCAGGUCAGGCGGGGUUACCCGCUGAAUUUAAGCAUAUCAAUGCGGAGGA
rnacentral:misc_RNA from 1 species